GCAUCGGUGGCUUAGUGGUAGAAUGCUCGCCUGCCACGCGAGGCCCGGGUUCGAUUCCCGGCCGAUGCA
rnacentral:tRNA from 1 species